rnacentral:rRNA from 1 species
GGAGCAAUUUGCUGAGAAGUAAUUACUCUCCGAGGCAGAGGACUGAGGAGCGGAACGAGGAGCUCGCCUGGAUCCAUGUCGGCGGCCGCUGCCGUCUGGAGUGGAGAUGAAUACCCCGUCAUCAAGCUGUCGGUUGUGGUAGUGACCUGUCACCAUCGGGUGGCGGGUUGAGGUAUAGGGGAGCAGGGGGGUAGAGACGAAGAGGUGCGUGCAUGCCGAUAUUGGAGCCCGGCCGCUGCCACCGUCCGGCCGCGUUCCGACACUCGACACUACGCCUCGCCCUGGUCCUCGUGCUGCCGUGCCCACACGGCCCUCCGUCGGCGUCCGGUACUACUCCUCGCACUGGUACGGUUCCUCCACUGCCGGUGUGUUUUAUCGGCCAUGAGUCCUACUGUCUCAGGUCCUCGGUCUACGGUGGAAGCUACUGCUGAUGAUGUUUGGGCUCCCACGGAUGAUGAUGCACCUCCGGCGGCUGCUGGUCCUCAUCAAUCCUCCGAGGGUCCGUCCUCCGGAACGGAAAAGCUAGUACGACGAAAACACGAUUGGAAGAAUUCCG